rnacentral:lncRNA from 12 species
GUUCCGUGUUCCCUCUGUCCAACACUCCCACUCUCCUGGAGUUUUGGGAGUUGUUCAGAGGUCCAACGCCAUGGAACUCCUGAUGCCUGUUCCGAGCUGGAUGCACCUCCCAAGCCACCUCCUCUAAGGGAAUGAGGAGGUGUAGAUGCUGCUGUGGGGUUCUUGAUGAGCCUUUUGUCACUAAUGCAGGUUUCUGAUUCCGGGGCUGACUACACCAGAUUUU